rnacentral:rRNA from 1 species
UACAGAGGUCUCAAGCGUUGUUCGGAUUCAUUGGGCGUAAAGGGUGCGUAGGCGGUCGUGCAAGUCGGAUGUGAAAUCUCAGGGCUCAACCCUGAAACUGCAUUCGAUACUGCGUGGCUAGAGUGCUGGAGAGGAGACUGGAAUUUACGGUGUAGCAGUGAAAUGCGUAGAUAUCGUAAGGAAGACCAGUGGCGAAGGCGAGUCUCUGGACAGCAACUGACGCUGAGGCACGAAGGCCAGGGGGAGCAAAACGGGG